rnacentral:rRNA from 1 species
AUGAACGCUAGCUACAGGCUUAACACAUGCAAGUCGAGGGGCAGCAUGAACUUAGCUUGCUAAGUUUGAUGGCGACCGGCGCACGGGUGAGUAACACGUAUCCAACCUGCCGAUGACUCGGGGAUAGCCUUUCGAAAGAAAGAUUAAUACCCGAUGGCAUAGUUCUUCCGCAUGGUAGAACUAUUAAAGAAUUUCGGUCAUCGAUGGGGAUGCGUUCCAUUAGGUUGUUGGCGGGGUAACGGCCCACCAAGCCUUCGAUGGAUAGGGGUUCUGAGAGGAAGGUCCCCCACAUUGGAACUGAGACACGGUCCAAACUCCUACGGGAGGCAGCAGUGAGGAAUAUUGGUCAAUGGACGAGAGUCUGAACCAGCCAAGUAGCGUGAAGGAUGACUGCCCUAUGGGUUGUAAACUUCUUUUAUACGGGAAUAAAGUGAGGCACGUGUGCCUUUUUGUAUGUACCGUAUGAAUAAGGAUCGGCUAACUCCGUGCCAGCAGCCGCGGUAAUACGGAGGAUCCGAGCGUUAUCCGGAUUUAUUGGGUUUAAAGGGAGCGUAGGCGGACGCUUAAGUCAGUUGUGAAAGUUUGCGGCUCAACCGUAAAAUUGCAGUUGAUACUGGGUGUCUUGAGUACAGUAGAGGCAGGCGGAAUUCGUGGUGUAGCGGUGAAAUGCUUAGAUAUCACGAAGAACUCCGAUUGCGAAGGCAGCUUGCUGGACUGUAACUGACGCUGAUGCUCGAAAGUGUGGGUAUCAAACAGGAUUAGAUACCCUGGUAGUCCACACAGUAAACGAUGAAUACUCGCUGUUUGCGAUAUACAGUAAGCGGCCAAGCGAAAGCGUUAAGUAUUCCACCUGGGGAGUACGCCGGCAACGGUGAAACUCAAAGGAAUUGACGGGGGCCCGCACAAGCAGUGGAGUAUGUGGUUUAAUUCGACGCAACGCGAAGAACCUUACCAGGGCUUGACAUAUAAGUGAAUAAUUAAGAGAUUAGUUAGCUCUUCGGAGCACUUAUACAGGUGGUGCAUGGUUGUCGUCAGCUCGUGUCGUGAGAUGUUGGGUUAAGUCCCGCAACGAGCGCAACCCCUGUGAUUAGUUGCCAGCGAGUAAUGUCGGGAACUCUAAUCAAACUGCCGGUGAUAAAUCGGAGGAAGGUGGGGACGACGUCAAAUCAUCAUGCCCUUUAUGUCUUGGGCUACACACGUACUACAAUGGCUAUAACAAAGAGAAGCGAGACAGUGAUGUGGAGCAAAACUCAAAAAAAUAGUCUCAGUUCGGAUUGAAGGCUGAAAUUCGCCUUCAUGAAGCUGGAAUUGCUAGUAAUGGCAGGUCAGCAUACUGCCGUGAAUACGUUCCCGGGCCUUGUACACACCGCCCGUCACACCAUGAGAGUUGGAAAUACCCGAAGCCUGUGAGCUAACCUAAGAGGCAGCAGUCGAAGGUAGAGCCAAUGAUUGGGGUG